rnacentral:rRNA from 1 species
AAAUUGAAGAGUUUGAUCAUGGCUCAGAUUGAACGCUGGCGGCAGGCCUAACACAUGCAAGUCGAACGGUAGCACAGAGAGCUUGCUCUCGGGUGACGAGUGGCGGACGGGUGAGUAAUGUCUGGGAAACUGCCUGAUGGAGGGGGAUAACUACUGGAAACGGUGGCUAAUACCGCAUAAUGUCGCAAGACCAAAGAGGGGGACCUUCGGGCCUCUUGCCAUCAGAUGUGCCCAGAUGGGAUUAGCUAGUUGGUGAGGUAACGGCUCACCAAGGCGACGAUCCCUAGCUGGUCUGA